UACAGAGGGGGCAAGCGUUAUUCGGAAUUAUUGGGCGUAAAGGGCGCGUAGGCGGCUUGGCAAGUGGAAGGUGAAAUCCCUCGGCUUAACCGAGGAACUGCCCUCCAAACUGCUUCGCUUGAGACCGGGAGAGGUGAGUGGAAUUCCCAGUGUAGCGGUGAAAUGCGUAGAUAUUGGGAGGAACACCAGUGGCGUAGGCGGCUCACUGGACCGGUACUGACGCUGAUGCGCGAAAGCGUGGGGAGCAAACGGG
rnacentral:rRNA from 1 species